AGUUAUGGGGACUUCAAAGUGCUGUGUUGUUUUUUUUGUGUAAAUGAUAAAAGGUACUGACUUGUGUAUAGAAAGAGAGAGGGAGAGGGUUAGUAAGGUGCCUCGCGCAUAGAAAGAGAGAGUGAGUGGUGAGUUAUGGGGGUUUUGAAGCAUUGGGUUGGUUUUUAAAGGUAAAUGAUAAAAGAUACUGACUCGUGUACAGAAAGAGAGAGGGAGAGGUGAGUUACGAGCGUUUUGUCAGGUUAGGUUGUUUUUUUAGACUAAAUGACAAAAGGUA